UCCCGGGCAGCAAACAAUGGGUGGGGAACGCUGAGCUGGGUGCAGCACUUGGCAGUCUUUGGGGUGCAGUGAUGAGGUGCCAGUGCUUGAUGGUAUGGAUAGAAGGGAACACGCCUCAGCCUUGUGACACGUGGGGUUAAUGGGGCAGAGCCACACCAUGUCCCUCUGAGGGGACCUGGGUGGCACUGCCACAGCAGUGUCACAUCCCAGCUCUGGGCAGGAGAGGUUCCCUUCCUGGGCCAUCCAAUCCCUCAGCUGUUACAGCUCCUCAUAACCCACAUUUUGUGAACAACCACAACUCCCACAGUGAUGUCCAUUUCAGCCCAUUCCACACAGAAGCGGAAAAAUUUCUUCCUGAGAAGGAAUUAAUGCAAGAGAAGUGGAGAUCAGUAAAUGACUACAAUAAAAAUACCCUUCAGCUUUCCUUUUUAUUCUUCCAUAUUUUUCCAGCAGCUGCUUAAAAACUGGUAUUCAGCAAUAAAAUGACCUGAUAACA